UUAAUACUCCCUCCGUCCGGAAAUACUUGUCCUAGAAAUGGAUGUAUCUAGACUUAUUUUAGUUAUAGAUACAUCCAAUUUAUCCAUUAUUAGAACAAAUAUUUCCCGCUAGCCGGAGAGGGAGUACUUA
rfam:Triticum urartu cultivar G1812 contig762563, whole genome shotgun sequence.